CAAUGCAAGUAUGGAAUAAAUUCCAUCUUCUACCUAACUAUAUCACCAUAAUCAACACAACUUAAGGAAUUUAAUAAUCACAAAGCAGAACUAAACUCUCUUUUAUGCUCUCUAUUUAUUUCCAACAAACAGAGUCGAUUUUCUAACAAAUAUCUCAAUAUACACUCGACCUCACAAAUUUUUCUCCUUUUUUCUUUUUCUCUUUUUUUUUCUUAACCUUUUUUUUUCUUUGUUCUUUUUUUUUUUCUAACCCCUUUUUUUCUUUUUCUUUUUGUUCACAACUUUUCUAGAGCUUAUAAGAGUGAAGAGUAACACAAUAUCAUCCCUUCUUUUCAACCAACCUACUACAACUCACCACACAAGAUCCCCAUAAACUUCAUCACCCCCUAUCAUCCGGCUAAAGAAUAAAAAGCUAAAUAGGCUCAAAGUGAAUAACAAAGGAUAAUUUUUCGUUAAGGACAGUGUUUGGGAUAAUAAUGUG
rnacentral:lncRNA from 1 species